rnacentral:rRNA from 1 species
GACGAACGCUGGCGGCGUGCUUAACACAUGCAAGUCGAACGAUGAAGCUGGAGCUUGCUCCGGUGGAUUAGUGGCGAACGGGUGAGUAACACGUGAGAAAUCUGCCCUUCACUCUGGGAUAACUGCGGGAAACUGUAGCUAAUACCGGAUACCUUGCCUGGUGGGCAUCCACUAGGGAAGAAAGAAUUGCGGUGAAGGAUGAUCUCGCGGCCUACCAGCUAGUUGGUGAGGUAAUGGCUCACGAAGGCGACGACGGGCAGACGGACUGAGAGGGUGAACGGCCACACUGGGACUGAGACACGGCCCAGAGUCCUACGGGAGGCAGCAGUGGGGAAUAUUGCACAAUGGGCGAAAGUCUGAUGCAGCAACGCCGCGUGAGGGAUGAAGGCCUUCGGGUUGUAAACCUCUUUUAGCAGGGAAGAAGCGAAAGUGACGGUACCUGCAGAAAAAGCACCGGCUAACUACGUGCCAGCAGCCGCGGUAA